CCUACGGGAGGCAGCAGUGAGGAAUAUUGGUCAAUGGGCGCAAGCCUGAACCAGCCAAGUCGCGUGAGGGAAGAAGGUCCUAUGGAUUGUAAACCUCUUUUGUCGGGGAGCAAAAGACGCCACGCGUGGCGUUCCGAGAGUACCCGAAUAAAAAGCAUCGGCUAACUCCGUGCCAGCAGCCGCGGUAAUACGGAGGCUGCGAGCGUUGUCCGGAUUUAUUGGGGUGAAAGGGUGCGAGGGCGGAAGGUCAAGUCAGCGGUAAAAUUGAGAGGCUCAACCUCUUCGAGCCGUUGAAACUGGUUGUCUUGAGUGAGUGAGAGGUAUGCGGAAUGCGUGGUGUAGCGGUGAAAUGCAUAGAUAUCGCGCAGAACUCCGAUUGCGAAGGCAGCAUCCCGGCGCUCAACUGACGCUCAGGCACGAAAGUGUGGGUAUCGAACAGGAUUAGAUACCCCUGUAGUC
rnacentral:rRNA from 1 species